GAUGAAGAACGUAGCGAAAUGCGAUAAGUAAUGUGAAUUGCAGAAUCCAGUGAAUCAUCGAAUCUUUGAACGCACAUUGCGCCCGCCAGCAUUCUGGCGGGCAUGCCUGUUCGAGCGUCAUUUCAACCCUCGACCUCCCUUUGGGGAAGUCGGCGUUGGGGACCAGCAGCACACCGCCGGCCCUGAAAUGGAGUGGCGGCCCGUCCGCGGCGACCUCUGCGUAGUAAUCCAACUCGCACCGGAACCCCGACGCGGCCACGCCGUAAAACACCCAACUUCUGAACGUUGACCUCGAAUCAGGUAGGACUACCCGCUGAACUUAAGCAUAUCAAUAAGCGGAGGA
rnacentral:misc_RNA from 1 species